rnacentral:tRNA from 1 species
GGGCCUAUAGUUCAAUGGUAGAAUGGCCGUCUCCAAAACGGCUGAUCCAGGUUCGAAUCCUGGUGGGCCCG